AUUGAACGCUGGCGGCAGGCCUAACACAUGCAAGUCGAGCGGAGCGGCGGACGGGUGAGUAAUGCCGAGGAAGCUGCCUGGUGGUAGGGUAUAACGUCCGGAAACGGGCGCUAAUACAGCAUACUAUCAAGUGAGCCUAGGGUGGAUUGGCUAGUUGGUGGGGUAAAGGCCUACCAAGGCGACGAUCCGUAACUGGUCUGAGAGGAUGAUCAGUCCGACUGGAACUGAGCCACGGUCCAGACUCCUACGGGAGGCAGCAGUGGGGAAUAUUGGACAAUGGGCGAAAGCCUGAUCCAGCCAUGCCGCGUGUGUGAGGAAGGUCUUCGGAUUGUAAAGCACUUUAAGUUGGGAAGCGUUACCAACAGAAUAAGCACCGGCUAACUUCGUGCCAGCAGCCGCGGUAAUAC
rnacentral:rRNA from 1 species